rnacentral:rRNA from 1 species
UAGGGAAUCUUCGGCAAUGGGGGCAACCCUGACCGAGCAACGCCGCGUGAGUGAAGAAGGUUUUCGGAUCGUAAAGCUCUGUUGUAAGAGAAGAACGUGUGUGAGAGUGGAAAGUUCACACAGUGACGGUAACUUACCAGAAAGGGACGGCUAACUACGUGCCAGCAGCCGCGGUAAUACGUAGGUCCCGAGCGUUGUCCGGAUUUAUUGGGCGUAAAGCGAGCGCAGGCGGUUUAAUAAGUCUGAAGUUAAAGGCAGUGGCUUAACCAUUGUUCGCUUUGGAAACUGUUAAACUUGAGUGCAGAAGGGGAGAGUGGAAUUCCAUGAGUAGCGGUGAAAUGCGUAGAUAUAUGGAGGAACACCGGUGGCGAAAGCGGCUCUCUGGUCUGUAACUGACGCUGAGGCUCGAAAGCGUGGGGAGCAAACAGG